rnacentral:lncRNA from 10 species
GUUUUUUUUGUUGUUUUUGUUUUUUUGUUUUUGCUCUAAUUUCCACUAUUUGCUAACCAUUCAUUACUUUCAUGGCUAAAAAAUAAGUUUAGGAGAAAGAAUAUGGCUUAGUUUUGACUUAAUUGGUAUGUAAAGAAAACAAUUUUCAUGGGGCUUAGAGUUGAAAAACUUGGCUUUAUGGAUCUAGAAUAAACUGUUUUGACUGAAAUAAUUUUGUGCCUUGGCUUGUAAAUCACCUUUUUCCUCCCUUGUGGUCUGAAACAGAUAUAAGAAAGAUUGGAGAACUGUGUGCCUGGCAAUUGCCUUGCUGAAAGGAAGCCCUCAGAAAAAGUUGUUUGAUGGUGAGAGCUGGCCAAGCCAGAAAGACAAACCAAGCGACUUUGAGUGGGGGCUUUGUGUCACAAGGCAUCAGUAGACCUGGAGACUGAGUUCAGGCAAUCAAUCAAUCAAUCAAUCAAUCAGGCCUACAGAAUGAAACUCCAACUAAAAACUGUGGACACCAAAGCUCAGCUGAUUUCCUGGUUGGCAAUACUCCAUGCAUAUUGUCACACAUCAAUGCCAGCUGGUCAGUGGUAGAGGACAAUAAAAGUUUUCACACUUGGAA